GCGAGGUGAUGAUAGAAAUUCAUUGAGUCUGUCAAUCCACUGACUAAUUUUACUGUGUGAUGUUACAUUGAAUCCCGACAGGUUCUGAUCGC
rnacentral:snoRNA from 1 species